ACCGAUAGUGAACCAGUACCGUGAGGGAAAGGCGAAAAGAACCCCGGCGAGGGGAGUGAAAAAGAACCUGAAACCGUGUACGUACAAGCAGUGGGAGCACAGAGCAAUCUGUGUGACUGCGUACCUUUUGUAUAAUGGGUCAGCGACUUAUAUUCUGUAGCAAGGUUAACCGAAUAGGGGAGCCGAAGGGAAACCGAGUCUUAACUGGGCGUUAAGUUGCAGGGUAUAGACCCGAAACCCGGUGAUCUAGCCAUGGGCAGGUUGAAGGUUGGGUAACACUAACUGGAGGACCGAACCGACUAAUGUUGAAAAAUUAGCGGAUGACUUGUGGCUGGGGGUGAAAGGCCAAUCAAACCGGGAGAUAGCUGGUUCUCCCCGAAAGCUAUUUAGGUAGCGCCUCGUGAAUUCAUCUCCGGGGGUAGAGCACUGUUUCGGCAAGGGGGUCAUCCCGACUUACCAACCCGAUGCAAACUGCGAAUACCGGAGAAUGUUAUCACGGGAGACACACGGCGGGUGCUAACGUCCGUCGUGAAGAGGGAAACAACCCAGACCGCCAGCUAAGGUCCCAAAGUCAUGGUUAAGUGGGAAACGAUGUGGGAAGGCCCAGACAGCCAGGAUGUUGGCUUAGAAGCAGCCAUCAUUUAAAGAAAGCGUAAUAGCUCACUGGUCGAGUCGGCCUGCGCGGAAGAUGUAACGGGGCUAAACCAUGCACCGAAGCUGCGGCAGCGACGCUUAUGCGUUGUUGGGUAGGGGAGCGUUCUGUAAGCCUGCGAAGGUGUGCUGUGAGGCAUGCUGGAGGUAUCAGAAGUGCGAAUGCUGACAUAAGUAACGAUAAAGCGGGUGAAAAGCCCGCUCGCCGGAAGACCAAGGGUUCCUGUCCAACGUUAAUCGGGGCAGGGUGAGUCGACCCCUAAGGCGAGGCCGAAAGGCGUAGUCGAUGGGAAACAGGUUAAUAUUCCUGUACUUGGUGUUACUGCGAAGGGGGGACGGAGAAGGCUAUGUUGGCCGGGCGACGGUUGUCCCGGUUUAAGCGUGUAGGCUGGUUUUCCAGGCAAAUCCGGAAAAUCAAGGCUGAGGCGUGAUGACGAGGCACUACGGUGCUGAAGCAACAAAUGCCCUGCUUCCAGGAAAAGCCUCUAAGCAUCAGGUAACAUCAAAUCGUACCCCAAACCGACACAGGUGGUCAGGUAGAGAAUACCAAGGCGCUUGAGAGAACUCGGGUGAAGGAACUAGGCAAAAUGGUGCCGUAACU
rnacentral:rRNA from 1 species